GACGAACGCUGGCGGCGUGCCUAAUACAUGCAAGUCGAGCGAGCCUUAUUAAAUGAUUUUGAUGCUUGCAUUAAAAUCAUUUAAUAAGGCGAGCGGCGAACUGGUGAGUAACACGUAGGUAACCUGCCCAAAAGAAGGGGAUAACACCUGGAAACAGAUGCUAAUACCGUAUAACAAUGAGAAUCACAUGAUUCUAAUUUAAAAGAUGGCUUUUAUGCUAUCGCUUUUGGAUGGACCUGCGGCGCAUUAGCUAGUUGGUAAGAUAAUAGCUUACCAAGGCAAUGAUGCGUAGCCGACCUGAGAGGGUAAUCGGCCACACUGGAACUGAGACACGGUCCAGACUCCUACGGGAGGCAGCAGUAGGGAAUCUUCCACAAUGGACGAAAGUCUGAUGGAGCAACGUCGCGUGAGUGAAGAAGGGUUUCGGCUCGUAAAACUCUGUUGUUGGAGAAGAAUGAAUAUGAUAGUAACUGAUCAUAUUGUGACGGUAUCUAACCAGAAAGUCACGGCUAACUACGUGCCAGCCGCCGCCGUAACAC
rnacentral:rRNA from 1 species